CUUGAUCAGAAGCGAGAAUGUUGACAUGAGUAGCGAUAAACAGGGUGAGAGACCCUGUCGCCGUAAGUCCAAGGGUUCCUGCUUAAAGCUAAUCUGAGCAGGGUAAGCCGGCCCCUAAGGCGAGGCCGAAAGGCGUAGUCGAUGGGAACCACGUUAAUAUUCGUGGGCCAGGAGGAUGUGACGGAUCUGAACCGUUGUCUGCCCUUAUCGGAUUGGGUGGGCAGCCUACAGGUCCCCAAAAUAGCCCUCCAUUAGACCGUGCCCUAAACCGACACAGGUGGACUGGUAGAGUAUACCAAGGCGCUUGAGAGAACCACAUCAAAGGAACUCGGCAAAAUGCCUCCGUAAGUUCGCGAGAAGGAGGCCCCAUCUGUACGCAAGUAUAGGUGGGGGGCACAAACUAGGGGGUGGCGACCGUUUACUUAAAACACAGGGCUGUGCGAAGCCGUAAGGCGACGUAUACAGUCUGACGCCUGCCCGGUGCUGGAAGGUUAAAAGGAGGGGUGCAAGCUCUGAAUUGAAGCCCCAGUAAACGGCGGCCGUAACUAUAACGGUCCUAAGGUAGCGAAAUUCCUUGUCGGGUAAGUUCCGACCUGCACGAAUGGCGUAACGAUCUCCCCGCUGUCUCUGAUGUGGACUCAGCGAAAUUGAACUGUGUGUCAAGAUGCACACUACCCGCGGUUAGACGGAAAGACCCCAUGCACCUUUACUCUAGCUUCGCACUGGCAUCAGGAUUGUGAUGUGCAGGAUAGGUGGUAGGCUUUGAAGCGGGGACGCUAGUCUUCGUGGAGCCAACCUUGAGAUACCACCCUUCGCACUCUUGAUGUCUAACCGCGGUCCGUUAUCCGGAUCCGGGACCAUGCGUGGUGGGGAGUUUGACUGGGGCGGUCGCCUCCCAAAUCGUAACGGAGGCGCGCGAAGGUAGGCUCAGACCGGUCGGAAAUCGGUCGUUGAGUGCAAUGGCAUAAGCCUGCCUGACUGCAAGACUGACAAGUCGAGCAGAGUCGAAAGACGGUCAUAGUGAUCCGGUGGUCCCAAGUGGGAGGGCCAUCGCUCAACGGAUAAAAGGUACGCUGGGGAUAACAGGCUGAUGAUGCCCAAGAGUCCAUAUCGACGGCAUCGUUUGGCACCUCGAUGUCGGCUCAUCUCAUCCUGGGGCUGGAGCAGGUCCCCAGGGUAUGGCUGUUCGCCAUUUAAAGAGGUACGUGAGCUGGGUUUAGAACGUCGUGAGACAGUUCGGUCCCUAUCUGCCGUGGGUGUAGGAUACUUGAGAAGAGUUGUCCCUAGUACGAGAGGACCGGGAUGAACGAACCACUGGUGGACCAGUUGUCGUGCCAACGGCAGUGCUGGGUAGCUAUGUUCGGACAGGAUAACCGCUGAAGGCAUCUAAGCGGGAAGCCCCCUUCAAAACGAGGUAUCCCUUGAGAGCCGUGGAAGACGACCACGUCGAUAGGCCGGA
rnacentral:rRNA from 1 species